AUUGAACGCUGGCGGCAUGCUUUACACAUGCAAGUCGAACGGUAGAGGGGGCAACCCCUUGAGAGUGGCGAACGGGUGAGUAAUGCAUCGGAACGUGCCCAGUCGUGGGGGAUAGCCCGGGGAAAGCCGGAUUAAUACCGCAUACGACCUGAGGGUGAAAGCGGGGGACCGAAAGGCCUCGCGCGAUUGGAGCGGCGGAUGUCGGAUUAGGUAGUUGGUGGGGUAAAGGCCUACCAAGCCUGCGAUCCGUAGCGGGUCUGAGAGGACGACCAGCCACACUGGGACUGAGACACGGCCCAGACUCCUACGGGAGGCAGCAGUGGGGAAUUUUGGACAAUGGGCGCAAGCCUGAUCCAGCCAUGCCGCGUGCGGGAAGAAGGCCUUCGGGUUGUAAACCGCUUUUGUCAGGGAAGAAAUCCUUUGGACUAAUACUCUGGGGGGAUGACGGUACCUGAAGAAUAAGUACCGGCUAACUACGUGCCAGCCGCCGCAGUAA
rnacentral:rRNA from 1 species